UCCGGUGACCAUAUCUGGAAGGUCACACUCGUUCCCAUUCCGAACACGACCGUUAAGCUUCCAGAGCCGAUGAUAGUGCCGCAAGGUGCGAAAGCAGGUUAUCGCCGGAU
rnacentral:rRNA from 1 species